CAGUAGCCGCGGUAAUACGUAGGGUGCAAGCGUUAAUCGGAAUUACUGGGCGUAAAGCGUGCGCAGGCGGUUGUGUAAGUCUGAUGUGAAAGCCCCGGGCUCAACCUGGGAACUGCAUUGGAGACUGCACGGCUAGAGUGCGUCAGAGGGGGGUAGAAUUCCGCGUGUAGCAGUGAAAUGCGUAGAGAUGCGGAGGAAUACCGAUGGCGAAGGCAGCCCCCUGGGAUGACACUGACGCUCAUGCACGAAAGCGUGGGGAGCAAACAGGAUUAGAUACCCCGGUAGUCCCUGUCUCUUAUAC
rnacentral:rRNA from 1 species